CAAGUACUCCCUCCGUACGGAAUUACUUGUCAUCAAAAUGGAUGUGUCUAGAACUAAAAUACAUCUAGAUACAUCCAUUUCAAUGACAAGUAUUUUCGGACGGAGGGAGUACAAG
rfam:Triticum aestivum genome assembly, contig: Triticum_aestivum_CS42_TGACv1_scaffold_158827_2DL